AGAACAACCAUCUUUUUGGCCAUGUUACACAUACCGUUUUGUUCACCAUCAGCAAGAAAGAUUCAACUAGAUGGUAAACAACGAUAAGAAAUUUUCAGGAAAGUUCUCAACAAGGCAGAACUAACCGAAAUCGUCCCAUCCUAUUGGAAUUACAUUACAGACUUUAAUGAACAAAACAUCGAAGAAGAGUACCAGGACAUGGAAAAAGAAACUGAAAUAGAGGAAAUAAACGAGGAGAAAGCAGACGAGUUCAAACAA